UGCGCAGGCGGAAUGAUAAGUCAGUGGUGAAAUCCUACAGCUCAACUGUAGAACUGCCAUUGAUACUGUUGUUCUUGAGUACAGUUGUAGUGGGCGGAAUAUGUCAUGUAGCGGUGAAAUGCAUAGAUAUGACAUAGAACACCGAUCGCGAAGGCAGCUCACUAAGCUGAAACUGCCGCUGAGGCACGAAAGCGUGGGGAGCAAACAGGAUUAGAUACCCUGGUAGUCC
rnacentral:rRNA from 1 species